UGGCUCCGCCGCGCCCACCAGAGCACCGCCCCCGCCCCGCCCCGCCCCGCCUGCUCCGAGCCCCGACCCGGCCCGCGGCGAGCGUCAGGGGAAGGAAUCCCCCGGCACCUGGGCCCUGCACCGACACUCGCGGCUGCGGCAGAGGGCUUCUCCCCGGCGGGGAGCGCGCCCCUCUCUGGGCAGAGUGGGGGAAUCCCGGGGCCGGCGCCUCCCUGGCGGAGCUGGGGGAGGGGAACCACCUGGAGCCUGGAGGGCGUGCGAGGGCGAGGUGAGCGGACCUGCGCAGGAGGACUGACGUUGGAGGGUGAGAAGCAUAUCUGGGGUCUCAACAGCCCCCAUCGGUGUACGCUCAACUCUCCAUGACGCGAGGGGUAAGAAGAGUGCCUACUCACCAGGCCCAAGGGGAGGAUUACAUGGGAUGAAGUGUGCAAAUUUCCUGCAGUGGUACCUAGUGCUGGUAAGCAACUGAUCCACAUAACUCUUACUAUUCAGACUUGUUCACUUGCUUUUGGUGCAUAGUUCCU
rnacentral:lncRNA from 1 species